rnacentral:lncRNA from 1 species
UAAAACCAUCCACAUAAUUCUUAUGUGCUUGAAAUAUACUGGCAUCUAAAUGUGACUUAAACUUUCAUUCUUACAAUAAAGCUACAUUUCUAUUCAAGUUUGAAUAGUGAAUUUGCAGGUUCUGAUUAGACAAAAAAGAAAUCUUUUUCAUUUCUCUUCUUUGUAACUAAGAAAACCAUACUUUCUUUUUGUUUGCUUUAUGAAGGCAUAGGUAACUGCUGAU